GGUUGUAGCUCAGUGGUUGAGCUCCUGUUUCCCAUGCAAAAGGUCACGGGUUCAAUCCCCCUGUAUAUCCA